UGUGGUCAAAAAUUUUCUCUCUCUCAGGGGCCCGUGCGGUGGCGGAUCCCUCCUUUCAGGCAAAGGUGCAACUCGCUGUGACAGCCGCAAAUUGUGCAUCUUUUGCCUACUUCUUUUGUGGGACGGCCCCGUUGAUCGUACGCAUCGUCAAAACGGAAAGGGAGAUCACCAACUCCUGGCCAGCCUUUUAUUUGAAAUUGAGUGAAGAGGUGGAAACUGAGUGAAGAGAAACAGACAGUGGCCUUAAGCAUUCAAGUGAAUUUUAUUUUGCUGCUUAUAUAAACUUUAAUUUAAGGGUGCCCUGUAAUAUGCGAGUAGUUGUAAUUAUUCGCAUUUGUAUGUAACCGUAUGUCUUUAAUGGUGUUAUUUUGAGACUCAAAAGUAUCACUAUUUAUAUACUACUGAAUGUUUAAGCAUUAGUCCCAUAUGGAGGUCUUGCACCUAUUUCUUUGCAAAAUGUUUUGUGUGAAUGGAAGUUCCUUCAAGUCUCACCAGAUCAAAAAAACAUCACUAUUCAUGUCACAAAAGAAAGAAAAAAGAGAGGUAAACUGGAAAAGCAAAUAAAAUGAGGAGUACAAGAAAAGAAAAUUCUCAUUAAAUCAGGUAUGGUUAAUGUUGCAAACCAAUCUGUAACUGAAUCAAUAGAGGGUUGUUCAAUCUGCUUGGUAGCAGUGCUGUUGUUCGACUAGCAAUCAAGGUAGAAAAGAGAACAGCAGGAGCACCACACUGCCAAUAUUAUCAUUUUUCAUCUUAUAGUGCAGAGGUAUUUCUUCCUAGUGGGAAUGUGUUGCUCUGGUACACAGAGAAGAGGUCUCUAUACACUUUUUAAGGGCCGUUGUGCUUGAUCGGGGACUUGAACCUGACGGUUGUAUCUGACAUUCAAAUAUAUUUGGAAAAGAUUAUCAAUCAGGGCUUAGACAGAGGUUAAUAUCAGAGAUAUAAGGAACUUAAUCGAGAAGAACAGCUGGCAUGGCCUGGGUGGGCCUCAUUCUGAACGUUAUGUUCUCGAUUCUAGAGGUACUCUUGUUGUACGACAAGCUGUGAAGGCUCAUACUUGGACAUUGCCUCGUUUUUUCUAUUCUGGUUGUGCAGACAAGUCCAAAGAAUGUAAAGGAUAAAUUUCUCGUUUAUAAAUAUAGUGCUUCUGAACUUAGUGGGACUAAUGACACCAUAAAAUGGCAGGGAUGUUCCAUCCUUUAUGUUGAAUGAUUUACUUCUGCUUCUCUUCUCGCAAACACGAUUUUAUGCGUAUCCAUUUAUCAAGUAGUAUGUUUUUGUCUAUUUGUGUUUGCCAUUCAUAUAUUUCACGUUUUUUGCAGAUUACAUUCAGUCUUCUUUUUUCUUUUGUGAUCGCUUUCGUACCAGACACUCUGAGUGCAGCACCUGAUAAAGCAUCUGUUCUGUCCCAGGUAAUGGCAGCCGGAAAUGAUCCAAAUCUUGAGGGCUUUGUCAUUACCAUAAGGCCGGCUUGGGAUGUACACUAGAUGUUAAUAGAAGACGCUCUUACUGGAAGGGAUUCUAUUUCAAGUGGUUCAUCAAGUGAUUUGGGUUAUCUACAGUUGUGCUUGGAAGUGUUUUUUUUCAAAGAACAAUAUGUACAACGCCUAUCUUCAGAAGUUGAUCACCUAUUCACCUGCUUCUUACUCACCCACUUGCCAGAGACAAGGUCAAAGAAUCAAAGAAUUAAAGGAGAGGGCUAUGAGCGUGCUUAGUCCAUACUGCCUGGUUGGGUUACAUGAGCU